CACAAAACAAUGUAGAGGAGGAAACGUUUAUUUCGGUGCUCAUGGUUUCAGAGGUCGCAGUCCAUAAAUGGCCAACUCCCUUGCUCUGGGCCCAAGAUGAAGCAGAACAUCAUGGCGGAAGAGUGUGGAGGAGGAAAGCAGCUCAGGACAUGACCACCAGGAAGCAGAGAGAGCUCCACUCACCAGGGACAAAAUAUAUACUCCAAAGGCAUGUCCUCCAGGGACCCACUUAAUCCAGCCAUACCCUACCUGCCUAUAUUUACCAUCCAGUUAAGGCCUAUCAAUGGAUUAACACACUGAUUAAGUUAAGGCUCUCCUAACCCAAUCAUUUCACCUCUGAAUAUUCUUGCAUUGUCUCACAGAUGAGCUUUGGGGGACACCUAAUAUUUUAACCAUAACAGGAGGGCGGUUCCUGGAAUGUGUAGGACAAUGACUAAAGACUUCAAGGCACCACUCUAGGACAUCUGAAACAGCAUGCUGCAAAUCUCCCUGCAGAUCUUCAAAACUGAGGUUAAGAAGGAGAAUGAGUCAAGGUAGGUACAUUGGAGGCUAAUAAAUCUUGAUUUCUAGUUUUUAGAUGAUUACUCCUUAAGGGAUUAACAUGUCUAUAUGCAGAGCUAAUUAAGUCAGAGUUUAAGAUAAUGAAGGUGACAGAUACAAAAUGAAGAGAGAUUUCAAACUUUAUCCUGCUUUUAGUUACCCAUUGGGCAUCUGAAGGGCUAAGUAGAGUCAGCAAUUAUAGCAAAGAAGCUUCUCUGAGUCCCUGUUAUAGCAUCUGGGGAGAUCUUUCUUGCUGUAUCAUCAUUCUUGCAUUAGGGAUUAAGUUUCCAACAUGCUUUUUUUGAGGGACACAUUCAAAUCAAUCCAUUCUGCCCUUGGGUCCAAAAGUCAUGUUCUUCCCUCAUGUAAAAUACAUUCAUUCCACCCUAAUGUUCCCUGAAAGUCUUAUUCAUUCCAACCUCAACUUUAAAGUAAAAGUCAAAAGUAUUAUCGAAACAUCAUGCAAAUGAGACUUAAGUUACAAUUAAUUGUGAGGCAUUUUUUUUUUUAAUUUCUGAGGCAAAUUUCUAGACAACUUACCUGCUUUCAAAAUACAAUGGUGGAACAGGCAUAAGAUAGACGUUUCCAUUCCCAAAGGGAGAAAAAGGAAAUAAAAAAAGGAGUCACAGGCCCCAUACAAGUUCAAAACCCAACAGGCUAAUCAAUACUAAAGUCCAAGUCUUGAGAAUAAUCUUCUCUGCCUCCAUGUCCUGCCUUCCAGAUGUAAACUUCCCAUGGCUUUGCUGGACUCAGCUCUCAGCAGCUCUUCUGUGUUGGAGCAUCUUGUCUGCAGCUCUCCUAGGCUGGUGUUGCAUGCUGGUAGCUCUGCAGUUCUAGGCAUUGUGGGUGACUCCAUUCCCAUGAUGCCAUGUACAACAAGACACAGAGGUCCCAGCUGGAGAACUUCUGGUUUUAUAGAUCUUAGAAAUUAUACUAUAAAAGCCCAUUUUUAUUCUCAGAGGCUUAAGCUUCUAUCACUUUCCAGAGAGGCAGCAACUCUGGGCCUUCUCCUCUGGGGUAUAUGGAGAGAGGAUUAGACUUUAGGCUAUAGAGUCACAUAGAUUUGAGAAUGAAUCGUAGCCAAUACUGCUAUUUGCUGUGUGACCUUGUGGCAAGUGCCAUAAGAUUCUCUCAGUCUCAGUUUCCUCACUGGUACAAUGGGAAUGAUAAUAUCAAUAUGUCAGAAUGUGAGCAUUAAUGGAGAUAGUGCACAGCAAGUGUUUGCACAGGAUCUGGCACCCAGGAAGCAAUCCACAUUGAUUAUUAAUAGCGACUAUUUAUAAACUACUUUCAUGGAACACAUAGGCAUGUAAGCUGUCAUUAGCUGGUAGGGUCAUGAUGACAUCCCGUGCUCAUUCAGAAGAGACUUCCAGGACUUGUUUUUAUCCCACUGUGAAAGCUUCUUUCAUUUCCUGUUCAUGUGUGUGUUUGUGUGUGUGUGCCUAUAUGUGCUCACUCUGAUCUUUACAACAGUUUCAGGCAUCUUUUAUGUGAAAUGAGACAAUAAGAAUAAUUGUCUCAGAUCUUUUAAAAGCUGAGAUUUUGGUAGAGCACAGAGGAGUAGAAGACAAAGAGGACAGAAAUCAGUGAGAGGAGAAGGGACUCUCAGAACAUACUGAAGUCAAUGUUAGACAUGAAGUUGGAAGAGUGUGGGCUUCCACAUCUCCAGCAAGAACCAUUAAGGCCCUCCCACUCAAGCUGUGCCAUUUCUAAGCCAAUUCUCCCUGAUGAGGCAGCUGCCUCUUAAGCAGUAUUGUUAAAAUAGACAACCCAUCUCCAGGUGCGGGAGGAACUAGGGCCCCAAACUAAAUGGAGUAUUUGUAACAAAAGCUCAUUGUUUGCUAUCUGUUUAGAGCCUGUUUAGUGGUGCCAAUAAUAGGAAAAUCACUUGAUUUACACUGGAAGGCAGUGUUUAGGGAAGAUGACAUUUAUUUUUUAUUAUUUUUUUAAAUUUUUUAUUGUUGGUUGUUCAAAACAUUACAUGUUUCUUGAUAUAUCAUAUUUCACACUUUGAUUCAAGUGGGUUAUGAAUUCCCAUUUUUACCCCAUAUACAGAUUGGGAAGAUGACAUUUAGAAGAAUGGGGAAUGCAAACACGCCAGUGCAUUCCAUUACUCCAUCUUCCUAGACAUGAGGAUACUCUGAAAUCGUCAUUCCCAACUCAUGCUCCGUUCCAUCACUUUUUUGAUGAAAGUGUGGCUUCUUCAUUUGCAGUGUCCUGUCCAUCCUGUGUGCACUGACCGAGCUGGCACAGGGUGUGGUGGAGCAAAGCUGUUCACCUCAUGGCAGCCAGGGAGCAGAGAAAGAGAGAGGAAGGGGCCAGGGUCCCAGUGCCUCCUUCAAGGGCAUACCCCCCAAUGACCUAACUUCCUGCCAGUAGGCAUCACUCCUAAAGAACCCAAGACUUCCCAGCAGUGACAAAAUCUUUAACACAAUUGAGCCUUUGGAGGACACUUCAGGAACAGAACUCUUAAAAAUGGUUGUAAUGUAGUGGCACUCCCUCCUCCACAAAGAAAAUCUUAACUAAGCUUCUCCAGAAAUCUUUACCAUAAUUGAUUUUUAGACUGUAAGCAAAAGAGUCUGUACAAAAAAGUUCAAUGUAGUUAAACUUCCUAUUUUCCUGUUGCUGUAUUUUACUUGGCCACUGUCCUGGAAGAAAUCAGCACUCCAGGUGCUGAAUGCUCCUUUACUAGUUUUCACAAACAUUUAUCCAGUAUAGUAGUUUGUAGAAGUGUGUUUGCAAAUGCAAAAUGCGAUUAAAAAAAAAAAUCCUUUAACAAGGCCUGUGGCCUUGAGCUGGAGCUUCACAGAGAUGUCUACAUUUUUAAGAGAAGUUACCAAUUAGGCUCCAUGGUAACAGCUGGCAGGAGGAGGAAAGAAAGGGGAGAAGAAGCUCUCCCCUUGUCAGGUGUUGUCUUUGAAGGGUUAACUUACCCAGAACAGUGAAAGAAAAAGCUUGCUUUAUGUGAACUUCUGCAGACUGUGAACUUCUGAGCCCCUCCCCUUACAUGCUGGGUAUAAAGUUCCGAAACUACCUGAAUUCGGGGUUCAGGGGAUUAAUUGAUUACAGCAAAAGCUGUGCCCUCUAAACCUGGCUGCAGCCAAAUAAAACUGUUUCCUGCUAUCUUUGGUGCCCUGCCUCGUCUGUCCCUACAACAGUAAUGGUAAACUUUAUUUUGUAUAUUUUAAUAUAAUAAAACUAAUCAGGGUGGUAAGUGAGUACUCCAAAGCACGAGGACAAGUGACCCCUAAAGCCCAGGCCUGGCCCAGGUGUCCUUCCUAGACAUAGCCCCCUGACCCCGUCUCCAGAGCCUGGGUGCCUCUGCUAUGUGAAGAGGCUCAGGAAGGUGUGGGAUUAGAGCAAGUGGAGGUACCGGAUCUGGAGGCACAUCUUACCCAACCUCGAAGAGCAAGAGUGUCUGCCUCAUUUCCAGAAGAGUUCUGUCCUCAAUGAGUCAGGUGCAACCACCAAGCAGGGGGUCAGGAAAACAAAGUUUAUUAUACUCACAGGUGCAAAGAACAGGAGCCAUGGCAUGCAGGGCCACAUGAGCAAGUACCAGUAUAGGUCAGGAGGUAGAAGGGGCAAGAGAAAGGGAGAGUCUGGGUCUUUAUUGGGGCUCCCAUGGGAAAGGCAAGGUAGGGCAAUUUGAAGAAUUUAGAACUGGCUAAUUUAAAUAAUAACUGGUGGCCUCUAGUUGCCUGGUACCUGGCUCCAUGAUGAUUUAGAAGGUAGGAUUUUGCCUCAAGGGCAUUCAGGACAGAGAGGAGAUGGCUGUGCUCUGGUUAGUCUGUAUAUCAAAGGUGUGCUGUUUGCUUCCCUGUACUAUCUUCAGCAUUGGCUAGUGCCAGGAAGGGUAGUCUCUCCCUGGACAGAAAGGUGUUGUUAAAACAUCAAAAUAUAUGGAAUACAAAAAUAUAAGCCAACAAAGGUCUUAUGGUUUAAAUAUGAAGGGUCCCCCAAAGGCUCAUGUUUUAGAGGUAUUGUCCCCACUGCAGCAAUGUUCAGAGAUGGGUCUUUUAGGAAGUGAUUGGAUCUUUUGGGAAGUGAUUGGACCUUUUGGGAAGUGAUUGGAUCCUUUGGGAAGUGAUUUGAUCCUUAGGGUGCUGACUUCAUCCAGGGAUUAAUCUAUUGAUAGCUGAAUGGAUUACUGGGAGGUGAUGGAAACUGUAUGCAGGUGGGGCAUGACUGGAGGCAGUAGGUCAGUGAGGGGUUGCUCUUGGGGACUAUAUCUUGUCCUUGUCCACUUCCUCUCUCUCUUUCUGUUUCCCAGCUGCCAUGAGGUGACCAGUUUUCCUCAGCCAUGCCCUUCUGCCAUGAUGUUCUGCGGCACCUAAGCAAUGGAACUAGCUGACUAUGGACUGAAAUCUAUGAAACCAUGAGCCCAUUAAUUUUUUUCCUCCUUUAAGCUGGUUUUAACAGGUAUUUGUCAUAGUGAUGAAAAGCUAACACAACAGGUAUCAAAUAAAAGAUCACUUAUUGAUUAAAGAACUUUUAAGGUUGUCUAUUUCUGCAUAACAAACAAGCCCUAAGCUUGGUUGUUAAAACAAUAGCCAUCCUUCAUUUGGUAGUGAUUCUGAGCUGUGGGCUGGGAUUAGCUGAGCAUUUUCCUCUGUCCUGCUAACAGGGCCAGUGUGGCCUUCCUCACAUGUGUGGCAGUUUGGAGGCAUGACUGGGACAGUUGGGGGCUGGAACACAAUAUUUAAUAAAUCCAUGGAGAUUUGUAAACAGCUUCUGGUUCAGCUGAAAGCAUUUAAUAAAUAGAAACAACUUAAAAAUUCAUUAUGCUUUUUAUGUAUUUUUAGAUCAUUUAAUAAUUUAUCAUUUAAAUUAUCAUAAUUAUAUUUAGAGAUUAUAUAUUUAUAUACAUUUAUUUGAUCAUAAUUUAAGAAUUUAUAGAACUUAGAUAUUCUAAUAACUUUCUUACAAUUUAUAAUUUUUCUUGUUUCAAGUAGAAUAUAUAUCUUUGCUUCUAUACUUUCUUUUAUUUGUACUUAUAUACUUAGUUAUUUUGUUGAAUUAAAUUAUUGGUUUAACAGACAAAUUUCUUGUAAAGUAUAGAUACCACUUGUUAUAAUUUGGAUCUUGAAUUUCCCCCAAAUUCCCAUGUGUAAAAGUUCAUGUGAAAAAAGGCUAGCUUGGCUCCAUAGUUUAGUUAUUGUGAAUUGUGCUACUAUAAACAUUGAUGUGGCUGUGUCCCUGUAGUAUGCUGUUUUUAAGUCCUUUGGGUAUAAACCAAGGAGAGGGACAGCUGGGUCAAAUGGUGGGUCCAUUCCCAAUUUUCCAAGAAAUCUCCAUACUGCUUUCAUAAUGGCUGCACCAAUUUGCAGUUCCAUCAGCAAUGUAUGAGUGUACCUUUUUUCCCCACAUCUUCGCCAAAACUUAUUGUUGUUUGUAUGCAUAAUAGCUGCCAUUCUGACUAAAGUGAGAUGAAAUCUUAGAGAGGUUUUAAUUUGCAUUUCUCUAAUUGCUAGUGAUUAUGAACAUUUUUUCAUGUAUUUGUUGAUUUAUUGUACAUCGUCUUCUGAGAACUAUCUCUUCAGGCCCUUGGCCCAUUUAUUGAUUGGUUUAUUUCUUUUUUGGUGUUUAGCAGCCACAUCACUGUUUACAGCAGCACAAUUCACAAUAGCUAAACUGUGGAACCAACCUAGAUGACCUUCAAUAGAUGAAUGGAUAAAAAAGAUGUGGCAUAUAUACACAAUGGAAUAUUACUCAGCAAUAAAAGAGAAUAAAAUCAUGGCAUUUGCAGGUAAAUGGACGGAGUUAGAGAAGAUAAUGCUAAGUGAAGUUAGCCUAUCCCGAAAAACCAAAUGCCGAAUGUUUUCUUUAAUAUAAGGCUGAUGAUUCAUAGUGGGGUAGGGAGCAGGAGCAUGGGAGGAAUAAACAAACUCUAGAUAGGCCAGAGGGGUUGGAGGGGAAGGGAGGGGGCAUGGGGUAAUUAAUGAUAGUGGAAUGUGAUGAUCAUUACUAUCCAAAGUUCAUGUAUGAAGACAUGAAAAAAAUAAAAAAAUUUUAGUCUUAAAAAAAAAAAAAAGACUAGCUUGGUUGCCAGCCUGUGGUGCCACUGGGAGACAGUGGCAUUUAGGUGGUGGAGCCCAGUGGAAGGAAGUCAUGGGGAUUGUGAAUUCUUGAAGGGGAUAUUGGAAUCCUGGUCCUUUCUUGUCUCUCUCAUUGCUUUCUGACUGCUAUUGCCUUCUAGGCCUCCUCUGCUACAUGCUCCUGCCAUGUUGUACUGUGAUGCUAUAGGCCCAAAGCAAUAGUGAUCAUGGACCUAAACUGAAACUGUGAGCCAAAAUAAAUCUUUCAUCCUUAUAUUUGAUUAAAAUCAAGUAUUAUGUAAUAGUGACAGAAAGGUGAGUAGACCUUUUAUUAAUUUUUAUUUGUUAAUCUUUAUGAAGGUUAAUUUAUAUUUUUUAUUGAUUACCUUUUAUUCAGUUUAAUUCUCUACUUUUUAAAAAAAUUCCAAAUGUUUACUCCUAUUUUACAAGUUAUGAUAAAGUGAAUAUAAAAAUUUUAAAUUUUCUCUGCAUUAAAGCAUAGGUUGUCCAUUGGUGUUCAAAUAUUCUUUCAAUUUUUAAUUUCAAUUCCUAGAUCAUCAGAGAUAUUACUUAAUUCUGUUUAUUUCACUUAUUGUAGUUAUGUGGACUGAAUUGUGUGUCCCUCCCAUCCAUAUGUUGAAUACCUAAUCCCAAUGUAACUGUAUUUGGAGGAAGGGCUUAUAAUGAUAUAAUAAAGGUUUAGAGGGUUCCUAAGGGUGGACUUUUCAUCUGAUAGGACUGUUACUAUAUAAGAAGAGGAAAAGACACUAGACGGUCUCUUUUUCUCUCCACAGGUGCACAGAAGGUCAAUUGAAGACAGGGAGACAGCAGUUGUCUACAUGCCAGGAGAGGGUGCUUACCACAAGCAAAAUUGUCCAAUUCCUUGGUAUUGGACUUUCAGCCUUCAGACCCAUGAGAAGAUAAAUUUAUGUUGCUUAAGCCACUCUAUUUAUGGUAUUUUAUUAUGGCAGCCUGGGAACACUAACACAAUAGUAAAUAUAAAACUUAUGAAGGUAAAAACCAAAGUGAGUUAUUGGGUUAACAUUCUUCAUUACAUCAUCUAGGGGUAAUUAAAUACAGUGACUUAGUGAUAAAUUAAAAAUAUUCAGAAGUGUUUCCAAAAUUUUAGCUGAAAUGCCAGACUUUCUCUCUAGCAUAGAGAUACCAGCACAGUCUGAACCAAAGGUUUCCAUGAACAUACUUCUCACUGAUGCUAUUUUUUCUCAAAUAUUCACAAUAAAGUCUAGUACAUUAUUUUAGAUAUUAUUCUUUUUAACACCACAAGAUUCAAAAAAUUUAAAAUUUCUAAUUUUAAAUUAAUUAUUAAAAUGCCUUAUAUGAAACAGUUUCAUAGAAGAUGAAUAUUUUACUGUCUCGAUUUAUAACUUGUCAAAUAAGUUGCUUUCUCAUUUUAGAAGAUAUAUGUUUUCCAACAAGUGGGACCAUAAAUUUGGAACACAGUGUAUGCUCAUAUAGAUAUAAUUAUUUUUUAAAGGCUAUUGAAUAUUUCAUGUUUGAAAAUGCUCUACUAUAUUUAAGCACUGGAUAGUUUUAACAUUUAUAAGGAUUCUUUCUUAAUAUUUUCAAUUGUUUUAUUAAAAACAAAUCUAGAUUUUAUUUUUUCAAAUGCAUUAUUAUAAAAAACUGAUCUUCUGAUUGCUUUUGUUAAUCUUUUGAUGGAUAAUUACAAUUUAAAAAAAAUCAAACCAUGGUUUUUGACAGAAUGUCACUGCCAUUCUGAUGAAUAUGUAAGUUGUAGAGGAAGAAUAUUUUUUUCAAACUUCAAGUUUUUAGUUAGAAGGGACCGCUAUCAUAAAAGACAGAUUUACAAGAGAAAAGCAGAAUUUUGUUAACAUGUAUAUUUAAUGUAUACAUGGAAGAUACUUAGACAAUGCAUAGUUCUAAGGUGGCUUUAAAUUUUUGCAUAUACAUACAAAUAUAUAUAUGUAUAUAUGAAUAUAAUCUUUCAUAAAAAAACAGUUAAUUAGAAAAGUGAUAAAAAAGGGAAAAGUACUUUGAAUCUCUAGGGGUGGUAACUUGAGGGAUGGCAAAUAAUGGCAGAUAAAGGCUAGUUAAUAAAGGCUAGUUGAUUCCUCUGGUUCCAUCUGUAAGCCAAUACAGGUCCAAAAUUGUCUCCUGUGGCCAACCUUUGUUUCCCCUGGUAGAAGAGGAGGUAGGCUUUUAUCUUCGUAAAUCUAUGUCCUGAUUUAGUCAGCUUUAUAUCACUGUGACCAAAAUACCCAACAAGAAAAUCUUACAGGAGGAAAAGUUUAUUUUGGCUCAUGGUUUCAGAGGUUUAGUGCCUGGUCAGCUAUCUCCAUUGCUCUGGGCCUGAGCAGAAGGCAGAACUUCAUGGCCGAAGGGCAAGGCAGAGGAAAGCAGCCCAGGACUUGACAGCCAGGAAGCAGAGAGGGAGCUCUGCUCACCAGGCACAAAAUAUAAACCCCAAAGGCACACUCCAAUGACCUUCAGCCACAGGGCACUACCUGCCUAUGGUUGCCAUCCAGUCAAUCCACGUUAGUUUAGGUUACAGCUCUUAUGUUGUAAUCAGUUCACUCCUGAACAUUCUUGCAUUGUCUCACACAUGAGAUUCUUGGGGGACACCUAAUAUCUAAACCAUGACACUGAUUUUAAGCAGUUGGAGGAAGGGAAGAGAGCUUUCCUGUAUCUGGUUCUUAAUUGCCUUCAGCUCAGAAAUUCUUCAUAUUUUGGGGUGGGUGACAUAUUCUGGUUUCUCAUGAAGUCUUUUAAUGAUGAACUCUGAGUACCAUUUACCUCCAAAGUAGCACGGUGGUAUAUUUUUGUUAAAAUAAUAAAAUUAUUAUUAUAGAAAUAAAAAGUAUUGUAUUAUUUUGUAAAUUUCUUGUAGUGUAAAAGGUGUUCCAGUCACUGAAGAUCCUUUAGGCUGAAGUUUAUUAUUAAUAUCACUGCUUAUUCUCUGUAGACUCAGAUACUUGAGGUAUAUGAUAUUUAAUGGAAAAUUAAUAAAUGUAUC
rnacentral:lncRNA from 1 species